UACAGAGGGUGCGAGCGUUAAUCGGAAUUACUGGGCGUAAAGCGCACGUAGGUGGAUAUUUAAGUUGGAAGUGAAAGCCCUGGGCUUAACCUAGGAAUUGCUCCCAAUACUGGAUAUCUAGAAUAUGGUAGAGGGUAGUGGAAUUUCCGGUGUAGCGGUGAAAUGCGUAGAUAUCGGAAGGAACACCAGUGGCGAAAGCGGCUACCUGGACCAAUAUUGACACUUAGGUGCGAAAGCGUGGGGAGCAAACAGG
rnacentral:rRNA from 1 species